rnacentral:rRNA from 1 species
UACAGAGGGUGCGAGCGUUGUCCGGAAUCACUGGGCGUAAGGGGCGCGUAGGCGGCCUGAUAAGUAGGGGGUGAAAUCCUGUGGCUUAACUGCAGGGCUGCCUCCUAGACUGUUAGGCUCGAGCACGGUAGAGGCAGAUGGAAUUCCCGGUGUAGCGGUGGAAUGCGUAGAGAUCGGGAAGAACAUCGGUGGCGAAGGCGGUCUGCUGGGCCGUUGCUGACGCUGAGGCGCGACAGCGUGGGGAGCAAACAGG